rfam:Phaeobacter gallaeciensis strain JL2886, complete genome.
UUCCUCCCACAACGGCUUCCUGGCGUGGCGAGGCGAAACCAAAUGGAGCA